UACGGGGGGGGCAAGCGUUGUUCGGAAUUACUGGGCGUAAAGGGCUCGUAGGUGGCCAACUAAGUCAGACGUGAAAUCCCUCAGCUUAACUGGGGAACUGCGUCUGAUACUGGAUGGCUUGAGUUUGGGAGAGGGAUGCGGAAUUCCAGGUGUAGCGGUGAAAUGCGUAGAUAUCUGGAGGAACACCGGUGGCGAAGGCGGCAUCCUGGACCGGCAUUGACGCUGAUGAGCGAAAGCUAGGGGAGCAAACGGG
rnacentral:rRNA from 1 species